AUGCGGAUGAGGUAAAUACACCGGCUAAUAACAGAUCCCAAGAAUGCGGAUGAGGUAAAUACACCGGCUAGUAAUGAGGAUGAG